CCUUAAAUUCUCUUCAUAGACUCUUUCGAUGAGCUUUCUCCAUAAUUUUUUAGAGAUUUUGUGUUUAUUUGAACUAUAUAUUGCCAUCCUUGAUGACAAAGUGGUUAUUGAGAAAGAUAGGUGAAGAUGGCUUUAUGGACUUGGGACAGCUUUGUGGGUAGGUGAGUCCGAUGCCGAAGAGAAAGGCGAGGGUGAGCCGGCUAUUAGGAUGGCUAGCAAAGAUGGUGGCCUCCA
rnacentral:lncRNA from 1 species